CUCCACCGUCGCCCUCCUCAGUCCCUCCUCACCCCGCCACCGCACUUCUGCAUCUGGACACUGCUCAUUCAGUCUCCUGCUCUUCUGCCUCCCCACCCCACCGACGCACUUCUGCAUCUGGACACUGCACUCCUGAUCCCUCAUCUCCUUCCACUCUACUAGCUCUGCGCAUGACGCAAGUAACGCAGCACUUCUUCCUGCAUCUCCGCUCAACUGCUCGCUCGUGCUCCCUCAAACAACAGCAGCCGCACUCCAACAGCCACCAUGUGCAUCUCCUUUCAAUUCUUGUCUGUGAUUGGCUAGAGGAUAGAAGAAAAACCAUGGGUAGUGGAGCUCCGUGGCCCUGGAGGAGUCUUGUUUAUUUUUUCUUUUGUAUUUUAUUUGGAUUUUGAUUUUCUGAGAUGGACACUGGACCUAUUUCAUGGCAAACCAGAUGUAUGAGAUUCUUCUUAACUGUGAAUUUGCUAGGGGUUUUCGAUUCGCUUUUUGUCCAUAGUAAUUAGUUGGAUUUUGUAACGGGGAGCUGCUGCGGCGGCGGCGGGGCGAGCUGUUGCAGCUGGCCCACACGCUCCGCCUCGUCCGCCCGCCUGUUGUCUGGGUCGUCGUCGAGCCCGCCGCCGACGCGCCCGCCACCGCCGAGGUGCUCCGCGGCACCGGCGUCCUGUACAGGCACCGGCUCGCUGGCGUCCUCCACUUCGCCGAUGCCGCCGGUGUCUACGACGUCGGGUUCUUCGACCAGAUCCGACAGAUCGAGCUAGAAGAUGCAGCCAGUGACAUAGAACUCUGAAUCGGGAGGUAAUAAAGGGCCCGUAACCUAAUUUGAUUCCAUUAUGUGCUUGGUUCUCUGAUUUGCACUUCAAGUUCAUGGCAAAUUGGCAGCAUGAGGAUACUCCUUCAACUAGUAUUUUUUAUGUUGACCAUCUGUCCAUCUCAAGUUUCUUUUCGAUGCUUGCUGCUUGAACAGGUCAGCACCACAGUUGCUGAUACUGUCGCAUAGUACAUGUGCUGGUGAAGAACUUGUUCUUUGCGUUGCCUAAUGUACUUUAAUCAUAAAAAAUAUUUUGGAGGGCUACAUCCAUUCUUAUCAGCUGUGUUUCCAUUCCUUGCAGGCUCCAGAAACACUUUCAUUUUUGCAUUGACUUCCUAUCAGCAAAUGGUAAAAAUGGUCACUUCUUGAUAACUGUAAUCUAGUCAUUUCUGAUCUCGAUCAUUGACAACAGAAUGAGAAUUUAAAGCUUAAUGAUAACUGUAAUCUGGAAAGAAACUUGAGAUAUAUAUGUCAUUUAUACAUUACAGUGUGCCUAUUCUAGUACAUUGCACCUCAUGCAAGUGACCUCAACCAUGUUUUUUUGUGUGGUUCUAGCUACUCAAUUUACUUGUUGGUAUUGUAAAUCAUACGAUUUUGAACUCUAAUUAUGUUGUAAAUUGCUUAAUAGCUGAUUGCUUCUAUGGAUCCUUUAAAAUUACCUUAAGCAUAUUAGUAAGUUCAUGGUUUGCUUCCAUGCUUGCAGGUCCUAGAGCAAAUGAGUAGCCAAUCACUAUUGACUCCUCUAUAGAGCAACUUGAGCCUUGGAAUUAAUUUGUGUUGUGCGCUGCUGUGUUGCCGCUGUUAUGAGCUGUUCUUGUCACUGUUACACUAUUGUGUCGCUACUGUUAUACAAAUUUGAGACAAUAGUUUCUUGAAUUUUAAGACUAUUAGAGUGAAAUUAUUAUGAUAUCUUGCUGUGUUCGAGCAGCAAAUUCUUGAAUUGUAAGACUAAUGAUUUAAAGAUAAUAUUAUGUGAUGUAUGGGCUGAUUUUUGUGA